UAGCUAUGUUUUCUCUUAAGCCAUGCAUAAAUCUUUAGCCUUUUACUAAAGAAUUCCGUGGGAAGGAACAUCAAUGAGUUUGAUGUAUUUUUAUGAGCUCUGGCAAAGCUGUGU